GUCUGUAGGGAUUUUACACUGCAUAUCUGGAAAAACAAGUCACCGUUUAAACACUAAGUCUACAGCAUGAAUGGUCUGGAGAGCAACGUUUUCUGUCGAUAGCAGUUUCUGUCUGGUGUGAUGCCCCAUUCUUGUGCUGAUGCUACUUGUAGCACUGAGCAGUACUGGAAAGGAGAAAAGGUCUCUUGGAAUAAGAUCUCCGAUGUCCCCCUACAGUCUGCAGUCGCGCGGCUGGUGGUGUGGCACAGACGGAGCAAGGGUUACAUCAAGGCUGUUCUCUGGACCGUGCAAACAGUCUAGACCAAUGACCUGCAGCAUCAUGCCCUUUGAAGAAGAGGCAAGUUCGGUCACGAUGAAGAAAAAUCAAGGCGUACCCCUUUUAACAAUAGGGAGCAGCUCGUGGCUGCAAAGAGGUGCCUGCCUGCCUUUCAGUUUUGCAGUGGAAUCACUGAUCAUUCUUACCACCUCACAACCUACAGGAAAUCUGAACAGAGUGUCAUAG
rnacentral:lncRNA from 1 species